GAAGAAAGGCCUUAUGGUUGUAAAGCACUUUAUGCGAGGAGGAAGACUACUUUAGAUAAUACCUAGAGAUAGUGGACGUUACUCGCAGAAUAAGCACCGGCUAACUCUGUGUCAGCAGCCGCGGUAAUACAGAGGGUGCAAGCGUUAAUCGGAUUUACUGGGCGUAAAGCGCGCGUAGGCGGCUAAUUAAGUCAAAUGUGAAAUCCCCGAGCUUAACUUGGGAAUUGCAUUCGAUACUGGUUAGCUAGAGUGUGGGAGAGGAUGGUAGAAUUCCAGGUGUAGCGGUGAAAUGCGUAGAGAUCUGGAGGAAUACCGAUGGCGAAGGCAGCCAUCUGGCCUAACACUGACGCUGAGGUGCGAAAGCAUGGGGAGCAAACAGGAUUAGAUACCCUGGUAGUCCAUGCCGUAAACGAUGUCUACUAGCCGUUGGGGCCUUUGAGGCUUUAGUGGCGCAGCUAACGCGAUAAGUAGACCGCCUGGGGAGUACGGUCGCAAGACUAAAACUCAAAUGAAUUGACGGGGGCCCGCACAAGCGGUGGAGCAUGUGGUUUAAUUCGAUGCAACGCGAAGAACCUUACCUGGCCUUGACAUAGUAAGAACUUUCCAGAGAUGGAUUGGUGCCUUCGGGAACUUACAUACAGGUGCUGCAUGGCUGUCGUCAGCUCGUGUCGUGAGAUGUUGGGUUAAGUCCCGCAACGAGCGCAACCCUUUUCCUUAUUUGCCAGCGAGUAAUGUCGGGAACUUUAAGGAUACUGCCAGUGACAAACUGGAGGAAGGCGGGGACGACGUCAAGUCAUCAUGGCCCUUACGGCCAGGGCUACACACGUGCUACAAUGGUCGGUACAAAGGGUUGCUACACAGCGAUGUGAUGCUAAUCUCAAAAAGCCGAUCGUAGUCCGGAUUGGAGUCUGCAACUCGACUCCAUGAAGUCGGAAUCGCUAGUAAUCGCGGAUCAGAAUGCCGCGGUGAAUACGUUCCCGGGCCUUGUACACACCGCCCGUCACACCAUGGGAGUUUGUUGCACCAGAAGUAGCUAGCCUAACUGCAAAGAGGGCGG
rnacentral:rRNA from 1 species